AUAACAUUUCGACAGACAGAAGAACACAGCGGAAGUUAACAAGUGCCUCUUCCAGCACAGUAUCUCCCUCUGAAGCCUCCCACCCCUUCAGAGGACAACUGUGCAGAAGCCCACAGUGGGCCUCUGUAACAGCCAGCCCCAGUGCCCAGAUGCUGCCUGACUAUGGAGUUUCCACUGACAACUCGCUCGCUAAUUCCUUGCAUGGGAAAACUACAUCUUUGCUGGCUCAAAGUGUGGUCCUUUGAGCCAGCAGCAUCCAGCAAGUCACAGAGGCCCAUUAAAGAUGCAGAUCCUCUGGCCCUGCUCCAGGACUGCGGCUUCAUGGUUUUUCUCAAGGAAUGUCUGAGAGGGACUGAAUUGCAUGUCCAAGCCACAGAGAUUCAGUGGGCUAAGGUGAGCAUGGGCAUGCUGAGUGGUUUCCCUGACAACAAGCCAAUUUUAAGAUUCACAAAAGUGCCAAGGGGAGGCACUCACAGCUGGAUCAUAGAACCAGAUUCUCGGGAAGAUGGAAGGAAUUUGGGAAAAUAAAAAUGAAACCUUAUUUUACCAAAGAAGAAAUGGAAUCCAGAGAUGGAAGAACCAUUCCCGAGAUCACGCAAGUAAAUGGUGGAAGAUUCGGGCCUUAUGUUAGCUAGGGUCAGGCCUGCUAAGAUGGAUCAUCUGAUAAUGUUCAUGGCACAGAUGUGGGGACUUGAAUUUGGAUACCCAGCACUCCUGUGAAAAACAGAGCCUGCUGUCACAUCCCUAUACCUCCAGCACUGGGGGACAGAGACAGUAGGUCCUGGGGAUUCUCUGGUCGGCCAGUCUAGCAGAAUGCUGAGUGCCUGCUUCAGUAUGAGACCCUGUCUCAAAAGCAAGACGGAGACAUAACUGAGGAAGACAACCCGAUGUCAACCUCUGGUCUCCACAUGUGCUCACAUGGUAGAACAUCUACACACACACACACACACACACACACACACACAUAUAUACACAUUCACAUAUACAUUUAUACACACACACACACAUUUUUACACAUCUACACAUACACACAUACACACACACACACACACACACACACACGUUAUCAUUGCCUCUCCGGUUGAGGAAAUGGCUCAGAAGCUAAGACUGUGUACUCUUCCUGUAGAGGACCCAGAAUCCAUAUCAGCUGGCUCCCAAUAACCUGUAACUCCAACUCCAGAGGACCCACUGCUCUCUUCUGGCUCCCAUGGGUACUCACACACACAUGGC
rnacentral:lncRNA from 1 species